rnacentral:rRNA from 1 species
GAUGAACGCUGGCGGCGUGCCUAAUACAUGCGAGUCGAGCGAACAGACGAGGAGCUUGCUCCUUCGACGUUAGCGGCGGACGGGUGAGUAACACGUAGGUAACCUACCUAUAAGACUGGGAUAGCUUCGGGAAACCGGAGCUAAUACCGGAUAAUAUUUCGAACCGCAUGGUUCGAUAGUGAAAGAUGGCUUUGCUAUCACUUAUAGAUGGACCUGCGCCGUAUUAGCUAGUUGGUAAGGUAACGGCUUACCAAGGCAACGAUACGUAGCCGACCUGAGAGGGUGAUCGGCCACACUGGAACUGAGACACGGUCCAGACUCCUACGGGAGGCAGCAGUAGGGAAUCUUCCGCAAUGGGCGAAAGCCUGACGGAGCAAUGCCGCGUGAGUGAUGAAGGUCUUCGGAUCGUAAAACUCUGUUAUUAGGGAAGAACAAACGUGUAAGUAACUGUGCACGUCUUGACGGUACCUAAUCAGAAAGCCACGGCUAACUACGUG